rnacentral:rRNA from 1 species
AUACGGAGGGUGCAAGCGUUGUUCGGAAUCACUGGGCGUAAAGGGCGCGCAGGCGGUUUGGUAAGUCAGAUGUGAAAGCCCACGGCUCAACCGUGGAAGUGCAUUUGAAACUGCCAGACUUGAGUACCAGAGGGGAAAGUGGAAUUCCCGGUGUAGAGGUGAAAUGCGUAGAUAUCGGGAGGAAUACCGGUGGCGAAGGCGACUUUCUGGCUGGAUACUGACGCUGAGGCGCGAAAGCGUGGGGAGCAAACAGGAUUAGAAACCCUAGUAGUCC